rnacentral:tRNA from 1 species
GCCGACGUAGCUCAAUGGUAGAGCACAGCUUUCGUAAAGCUGAGGUUGUGGGUUCGAUCCCCACCGUCGGCU